GGCCACCUUCGGGGGGCUGAAACAUAACCCCGGAUCAAGUCCGGGGUGCUAGCUAACGGAAGACAGAAA
rfam:Maliponia aquimaris strain CECT 8898 genome assembly, contig: 0010